AUUGAACGCUGGCGGCAGGCCUAACACAUGCAAGUCGAACGAGUGGCGGACGGGUGAGUAAUGUCUGGGAAACUGCCUGAUGGAGGGGGAUAACUACUGGAAACGUUACUAAAUCCCGCUUACCAUCAGAUGUCCCCAGAUGGGAUUAGCUAGUUGGUGGGGUAACGGCUCACAAAGGCGACGACCCCUAGCUGGUCUGAGAGGAUGACCAGCCACACUGGAACUGAGACACGGUCCAGACUCCUACGGGAGGCAGCAGUGGGGAAUAUUGCACAAUGGGCGCAAGCCUGAUGCAGCCAUGCCGCGUGUAUGAAGAAGGCCUUCGGGUUGUAAAGUACUUUCAGCGGGGAGGCGUUACCCGCAGAAGAAGCACCGGCUAACUCCGUGCCAGCAGCCGCGGUAAUUC
rnacentral:rRNA from 1 species